CCCAGACUCCUACGGGAGGCAGCAGUGGGGAAUAUUGCACAAUGGGCGCAAGCCUGAUGCAGCAACGCCGCGCGAGCGAAGAAGGUCUUCGGAUCGUAAAGCUCUGUCCUUGAGGAAGAAGGAAGUGACGGUACUCAAGGAGGAAGCCCCGGCUAACUACGUGCCAGCAGCCGCGGUAAUACGGAGGAUGCGAGCGUUAUCCGGAUUUAUUGGGUUUAAAGGGUGCGUAGGCGGGCUUUUAAGUCAGCGGUAAAAAUUCGGGGCUCAACCCCGUCCGGCCGUUGAAACUGGGGGCCUUGAGUGGGCGAGAAGAAGGCGGAAUGCGUGGUGUAGCGGUGAAAUGCAUAGAUAUCACGCAGAACCCCGAUUGCGAAGGCAGCCUUCCGGCGCCCUACUGACGCUGAGGCACGAAAGUGCGGGGAUCGAACAGGAUUAGAUACCCUAGUAGA
rnacentral:rRNA from 1 species